CCUACGGGAGGCAGCAGUGGGGAAUAUUGCGCAAUGGGCGAAAGCCUGACGCAGCGACGCCGCGUGAGGGAUGAAGGUCUUCGGAUCGUAAACCUCUGUCAGCAGGGAAGAACGGUCACUGUGCUAAUCAGCAGUGAAUUGACGGUACCUGCAAAGGAAGCACCGGCUAACUCCGUGCCAGCAGCCGCGGUAAUACGGAGGGUGCGAGCGUUAAUCGGAAUUACUGGGCGUAAAGCGCUCGUAGGCGGUAUGUCAAGUCAAGGGUGAAAUCCCCGCGCUCAACGUGGGAACUGCCUUUGAAACGGGCAAACUGGAGUGUGUGAGAGGAUAGUGGAAUGCCAGGUGUAGGAGUGAAAGCCGUAGAUAUCUGGAGGAACAUCAGUGGCGAAGGCGACUAUCUGGCACAUAACUGACGCUGAGGAGCGAAAGCGUGGGUAGCAAACAGGAUUAGAUACCCUAGUAGUC
rnacentral:rRNA from 1 species